rnacentral:lncRNA from 1 species
CAUAAAGCCGUGGAUUGUUGGCUAAGGGAGGUGACUGUUGCUCGGGGAUUAGCUGAGUAUUACUGGGAGUCAGCUGGCAGUAAGAAGGUCUAGCAGGACAAGUAUUAGCCAUCCAGGAAAAUUCAAAGAAGCACAGCUAUCUACAAGCCAUUUAAAAAUGCCUAGAAAGCCUUGGACAAGAAGAACAUGGAAUUAAUGAAAGAGCUGCAGAAUAGAAAGCUGAAAAUUUGACAGAAUAAAUCCUCUAGCUGGGUUCAUGUUCUCAGCAGAUCACGUACAAAUGGGACCUACAGUAUAGUCAGUGGGCUAUAAACACAUCUGCCAAUGAAAAUUACUUGGAUAUAC